UACGGAGGGUGCAGGCGUUGUCCGGAUUUAUUGGGUUUAAAGGGUGCGUAGGCGGCCCUCUAAGUCAGUGGUGAAAUACUGCAGCUUAACUGUAGCAUUGCCAUUGAUACUGUAGGGCUUGAGUACAGAUGAGGUAGGCGGAAUUGGAUGGUGUAGCGGUGAAAUGCAUAGAUACCAUCAAGAACACCGAUUGCGAAGGCAGCUUAACUAAGCUGUGAACUG
rnacentral:rRNA from 1 species